AUCCGGCUGUCAAGUCCCGAAUAGGACGAAACACGCGUCCUGGAU
rnacentral:hammerhead_ribozyme from 1 species